CGUGCCCCGUCCUGCGGCCGCGUCUCUUGGUUUAUCGCUUGGGUUUAGUGGUUAUUUAACGGUGUACGUGGUUUUAUCGCCCCUCUCUCUCCGGCUGCGCCCCCGCGGUGCGGCCGGUGCCGGGGAACGCCACGUCCUGCGGGCAGCGCAGCCCCGGAGCCUUGGUGCCGGAGGUGUUUGUGUGCAUGUGUCCCUGCGCUGCUGCGCCAGACGCGCCGUUCCCUAGGAGUUUGCCCCGGUAGCGCUGCCGGGACGGGCUUAAAAUGCGGGGUGCGGUGAGGAUGGAGUCGGCGGUUUUAUCGGUAACCGCGCCGGCAGCACCGGUUCGGAGAACUUCGCGAAGGCAGAGGCCGCGCUGCGGGAGCCUCGGGUCUGAAAAUCGGGCGUGAAUAGCGGAAAAGAGAAAGAAAAAGGAAGAUGCAGAAGAGAAGUUGAAGAAGGAAGGAAAGAGGAAAAAAUAGUGGAGAAAAUCAGAACAGAGUUGACUUUUCUAAGAGGAAUUAUCCAGGAAGCAAAAUGUGCAGCUUCCCUCUUCUUUUUCUUUUUUUUCCCUGUUUUUAGCCCAUCCCAGAUACUGCUAUUUGGAGAUAAGUGGGUCAAGCAAAAGGGCAUAAAUAAUAGUGAUUUCACAGUUGCUGUGGGUAUGGGAGAGUGCAGCAGGAAGGGUGGAUUCAAGGAAAUGUUGGCAGGCUCUCAACGGGAAGCUCCUAGCUGAGCCACGGGUUGCUGUGCCCAUCUUCUGCCACAAGACUUUGGGCUGUGCCAACCAGGUGGGAGCGGGAUUAAAGUGGAAAUAGAGCAGAUGGUGAAGUGCAGCACAUCUAGACUUACUGAAUUUACUAUGGGACAGUAUGUAUUUGUGGGAGCAGCUGGGGGAAGGGUGGAUCAACCUGCUGAGCAGCAUCAUAGGGAAACAACCAGUAAAGUACCCUGAUCAGGGACAUUAGAAAAUGGGGCAUAAUUUUUAUAUGUCAAAGAUCCUGAGCUUAUUAGCAAGGAAUGUUUCUUCUGGCCCACAUGUGCCUCCCAUUUUUAUUACCCUCAAGUGCUUCGUUUCCUCUGGCUGGUGGUCACAUAUCAUCAACGAGGCAUAUGUGGGAUACCCCUUCUUCUUACAAGGCCAACAAUCUCUGCAUUUCUGCUGAGGGCUGAAAUCAAGUUUAACAUCUGAAAAUAAGGAGAAGGAGAUAAUACACCCAGGUGCAGUUUGAGGAUGCUGCUGCAGAGGAACUGCUUCCCAAAAAGUGAGCUAUAAACCCUAUAGUGACAUUGCUGUCAUAGAGGAUGAAAGCACACUCUACUUAGUUGUUUGCAUCAGCUUUCUGCGAAGUUUAACUUGUAUUUGCUUUUAUUCUUCUUUUCCUGGUGGAUCAAGGUUACUGUGAACAACUGUACUGCAUUGUGGUUAGGGGAUAGUGCUCUGGCUUUUGAUGCUCCUGAAGCCCCAUCAGUUCAUUCUGAGACCUGGCACCCUAUCUUCUAAGCAAGUGGAGCCUCCUGGCUUCCAACGGACUCUGUGCUUGGAUUACGUACCCCCAGCAUCACCUGCUUGUGUUGCCACCAGUGCCUUUUUGGUUCUUUUUCAGCUCGAGAACAUACUGCAAGAAAAGCUUUUAUCUUGUUGGAAACGCCUGAACAGGAGCUUUUUACAUCCUUAUGACUCAUUCAACUCAACCUUGGAAAUCUGGAGCAGCAUGUCCUGGUUGCUGCAGUAGAGGCUCAUAGAGAUUUACUUCAUCCAGCUGGGACCUUUCAGGGCUGUGUGGAGACCACUGAACCGCGUCCCUUGCUGGAGAUGGGUUGUUUGCGGGUGUGGGUGAUGUCCUUGCAGAAGAAGGGCAGUGUAUGGGGUGGCCUUUCCCUGAUAUGGAGGAGGAGCAUGGCACCUUGGGAAGAUGAUUUUUCCUUGCCUCCAGGAACAUAAUACAUUCAUGCGUUUAGAUCUGUAAAUCUGCUUGCGGGUACUAACAUAUUGCAGAGUAGCUGGCUGCAUAAAUCUCUUGCUGUUGAAUGCAGAGGAUCAGGUAGAAGAGUCUGAGGGCUUGGGUUGUUUUCUUGCGAUCAAGUCUGUUUUCCAGAUUUUAGGACAUUCUUCAUCCUGCUGAUUCUCCAUAUGGGUCUAACAGUGUUAUUGCACCUUUGUCCUUCUCAUGGAAAAUAAAAAGAUGAUUCU